UGCGAUCAAAUCAGUUUGGGUUACGGUCUCUAACGAAUACUAAGGUCCUAAGGCCAAAAUGAUUCCUACUUUAGUGCUCUUCGUUUUAAGCAUAGCAGAGAUGCACGCUCAUACUGCUCCUAGAGGUGCACCAAUUCUUCAGAAUUAUUAUAAUCCACCACCGGACGUACCUCCAACUUCACACCCUCCUUCAGCAGCACCAGCUGACGCACCAUUUGCAUACCAAGGGUAUCCACCCAACACACAACACAGUGGAAACAUAGCUGGAUGGA